AUCAAAAGUAAAAGGACUAUAUUAAGAAAUGGGGGAGGUACUGGACUGAAAGUCAAGAGACCCAGAUUCUACACCCAGCUUUGCCACCGAUCUGAGCUGUGACCCUCAUGGGUGACAUCAAAGACACUGAAGUCAGCAUCAUUAAGAGGAAUAUCGCCUUUUAAGAAUUUACUCUGCUAGUGGAAAACCAAUGUGAGGCACGUUUAGAGGUAGAAUCUGAGUUUUGAACUUCAACUGAGUUUUCUACACAUCACUCAAUUGAGAAGGGUUUGUAAGACCAUCCAUCAAGAAAUACUAUGGAUCUCUGGCAAAGGCUGAGGGACAAAUCAUCUUGAUUAGUUCUUCAGCCCCAAUUCCUCUACCUCUACCUUCCCUGCCCCCUACACAAAUUGUUCGCGUGGAGGGCUGCUAAAGGACUCAGGAAGACAGAGGGCUGGUUGCUGCCUUGGUUCAACUAUUCUCCGACUGAGAGAUCCAGGGCCAUUGUAGUGGGUUUUCUGUUAAUUUUUAAGAGCAAGAGUGAAGACAGACAAAAGUGAGGUUAUAUAGCCUCUAGUAUCCAUCACUUUAAACUAAAGUAACAUUGGACAGACCUUUAUCUGUAUAUUUACAUUUCUUAAUCAAUCUGUUUACAAUGGCAAAAUG